rnacentral:rRNA from 1 species
AGCUCCAAUAGCGUAUAUUAAAGUUGUUGCAGUUAAAAAGCUCGUAGUUGGAUUUGUGGUGUACGCCGGCGGCCCGUCGCAAGACGGAGCUUGCUUGCGUCGCCAUCCUUGGGUGGAUCCUGUGUGGCAUUCAGUUGUCGUGCAGGGGAUGCCCAUCGUUUACUGUGAAAAAAUUAGAGUGUUCAAAGCAGGCUUAUGCCGUUGAAUAUAUUAGCAUGGAAUAAUAAGAUAGGACCUUGGUACUAUUUUGUUGGUUUGCGCACCAAGGUAAUGAUUAAUAGGGACAGUUGGGGGUAUUCGUAUUCCAUUGUCAGAGGUGAAAUUCUUGGAUUUUUGGAAGACGAACUACUGCGAAAGCAUUUACCAAGGAUGUUU